AUGUCUGAUCUUGAGAUGGACCGUCUCCUGAAUGAGAUGAGUGACCUUGUCGAUCAGGCUGAACAUCAAGCUCACCUCCAACAGCUCAUUAGCAUGCACCAGGAAGCAGAACCAUCCACCGGUCAGCCUUCCACCAGUAAUCCAUCCACCAGCCGGCCAUCAAAAAGCAAGCAAGACGUUAGGUGGAUUAAGAGGGACAGUGAUGGAAACAUUAUUUACGGCAGGCCCAGAUCAUCCCGGAAACAAGCAGCAGGUCCCAGUCACAGCCAGAGUCGAAAGACUGGUGUCUCUCAUAUCAGGGCUCCUGAAACCAGUGCGGAAAUGACCAGUGACUUUCCUUCCGUUACUGCAGAGUCCUUCCUUCAAGAGCUUAAAAGCUCACUGUUUGAGGAAAUACAUGAGGAUGAAACGGUACUUCAAGCCUCAACAGACUGGUCGACCCGAAAGAGCCUCAUAUCAGGGUGGUGGGAGAAAGAGAGACCCCGACUGGUCAACACCAUGGUGGCUGGACAACAUGCGGCAACUCGGAUCUGCCAACAUUGUGGAAAUGGUCCAGCCGUAAUCCGUUGUUGUGACUGCCGACCACACCCAUUCCUCUGUGGCCAGUGUGAUGUCAGGGUCCACCGAGGUCAAGUGUUCCACAACAGGGAUUCGAUGACACAUGCAUUCUUUCAUCCAUUGCCUCCCACAACUUGUGUUGUGGAGAGGGUUCUAACCCAGUGUGAGCGUCUUGUACCUUUGGAGAUGCCAGAGACAAUAUGCGGUUGUCUACGAGUAUCGUCCAGUGUCAUCGCAGGACAGUCCAUAGUUGUGGUUACAAUGAAUGGGCGAUAUGAUCUCAGAUUGCCUCAGAUUAGAUGCAAAGCAUGUGAAGCCACUUGGAGUCCUGGAGUGGAUGACCUGAUCCGUAAUGACUACUGGCCUGCCACUUCUCACUAUUCAACUGUGUAUGCAACAGAUGUCCUUUUUUCUUUUGAAGAGCUGAAGAUGGCAGCACCAGGGAUGUCUAGCCAAGCAUUUCUUAGAAUGCUGGAUCAACGCACUGUUCGAUUUGGCCGUAGUGGAAACAUCACAGCAGACAGCUUCCGGAAAAAGCUUCUUGGAGUGGGAAGCUGUCCGAUUCGAAGUGGACAAAUUAUGCCAGGAGGACCACUUUGACUGCCCAGCGUGCAGCCCAGACAUGCUUGCAGUAUCCGUUGAUGGAAACCGUAAGCACUACAGAUUCAAGAGUGCAGCAAGGUACUGUGUGUGCAUUGACGGUCCAUUACUUUGAAAGUAACUGCUGUGAAUUGAAAAAUCAUAUGAAUAUUUAAAGUUAAUAUGUAUCUCUUUUUAUUUAGAUCGGAGGAAAAAAAGCCAUCUUUGAUGGCGUGUUCAUCGCAAAUGAUGAUGAUGUCGCAAGAUUCGUGGACUAUGUCCAUACCUCAACCAGUCAUGUAAACUUGCACAACUUCUCUAUAUUUACCUAUAAAAACACCACGUCCUACAGAGGACUUAGUUUGAACAAGUUUGGAAUGUUAAACAUCUUCCAUGUUUUAGGUCUCUGGAAGAGGUGUCUGUGGAGGGCAAUGGUCAGCGGCGCGUGAAACUUCUCAGAAGUCCUCAGGAAAAAAACAGACGAGGAGGGCCUGGAACUCGCUGUAUGUCGUCAUGGGGUUCUCCUUCGUGCCCUCAAUAUGUUCAGGGGGAGAUUUUUUUGCCUACCCCCUGUACCUCCAAAAGCAAAUGGCCUGUAAGCCAGUUAAAUUUUUUUUGCAAUGGAUGUGGCAUGCAAGUACUGGCCUUACCUCCAGAGAGUGACAGAGAAAUGCCCUGAGCUUGAGGAUCUCCUCACCAUGAGGCCAUUUCUUUCUGUUUUUCAUGCCAAAGCUCAUGAUUUCAAAUGUGAGGUAAGAAAAAAAUGAUUGUCCAUGAUAUUUUCUUUCCCUAAAAAUCCUGCAUAAGAUUGUUGCCACUUAGGUUUUGUUUUUUUGUUUUCUUUUUUUAAAAGGUAAAAUGGAGUGGAGCAUAUCAGGAGGGGGCUGGUUCGACUCUUGGGGAAGAGGUGGAGCAGUGCAACGCCUUCCUCUCGAGGAUUGCUGUUACGACAAAGCACAUGUCAAAAAGCAGGUAAGGUAACCAGUAAAUUUUGAUCCUGAUGACAUGGGUGAGCCACUUAUGCAUACAUGCUGACUCUGAAAAAUAUAAAGAUCAGAAUAUAUUAA
ensembl:lncRNA